rnacentral:tRNA from 1 species
GCUGAGGUAGCACAAGUGGUAAAUGCAGGAGUCUUAUACACUCAAGACAGUAGGUUCAAAUCCUACCCUCAGUAC